UACGGGGGGGGCAAGCGUUGUUCGGAAUUACUGGGCGUAAAGGGCUCGUAGGCGGCCAACUAAGUCGGAUGUGAAAUCCCCAGGCUCAACUUGGGAACUGCGUCCGAUACUGGAUGACUUGAGUGCGGGAGAGGGAUGUGGAAUUCCAGGUGUAGCGGUGAAAUGCGUAGAUAUCUGGAGGAACACCGGUGGCGAAGGCGGCAUCCUGGACCGACACUGACGCUGAGGCGCGAAAGCUAGGGGAGCAAACGGG
rnacentral:rRNA from 1 species